rnacentral:lncRNA from 1 species
UGAGCGUGGCUUGUCCUUUCCACCUGGAACCUAAGCAUAUGCAGCUGACGAACGGAGGGUUUGCACAGACUGGAGAGAUCUACUGGAUGAAGGACACGUUCACUGCUGGUGCCAUGGACGAGCCUCUCUGGACCUCAGUGUCAGGUGGAGCCCUGCAGUAAGAUGCUCGAGUCUAUGUUUGUCUGCAGUUCCCCUCCUGUGACCUCUCACCUUUGGCUGCUCAUUCUCUCCUGCUCUCUUCAUGGUCAACCAGCCCUGUCUGACCUGGUGUUCUCCACCCAUCCAGAGGAUGGUGUUGGUGUACUGGGUGCUCCCCUCACACUGUACUGUGCAGUGUAUGACUCCAGCAGCCAGGGGGAACUGUCUGUUAGAUGGGAGAGGGCCAGUGGAGAGCCAGCAGCAUUGACUCCUGGUCUUGGCAGAGGGAUCCACCAAUUGGCCAACGGAUCUCUGUUCUUCCCCCAGCUGAGAGAGGGGGACCUGGGGAGAUAUGUCUGUAGUGCAGGCAUUGGAGCCAAACACAUCAUGACUGUUGUCCAAGUGAUGGAAGCUGACCUGGAGGUGGUGUUCUUCAGUCCUCAGUCUCAGACAGUCAGUGAGGGUCGGCCAGUGUUCCUCCAGUGUGUCUCAGGGGACAGCUCCCCCCCAGCACACAUCACCUGGCUCAAAGACAACACACUCUUCACCAAAGGCGCUCAGAUUCAGGGUCAAUAUGGAGGGGGUAACCAGAGGAAGACCUCAGGCACUCUUCACCUCUCUAAUGUCUCAAUAGAGGACGACGGGGAAUACGUCUGUGUCACACACAACACCUUACUGAACACCAGCCGGGAAAGCAAGGCAGCUACACUCACAGUACAAGGUGAGACAAUGCACAGCCUCUCCCCUACUCGCUAUCCCUUCUGUCUGCCCUGUCCUGUCCUCUUAGAACAGCAUGGCUAG